rnacentral:lncRNA from 10 species
GAUAAUGGCAGCAGAAGGCAAAGGGAGCAGACAGCUGGCAAGCUCUGUCCCAAUAUGCUUCCCUGAAAGAGGCGAGGAAAUUUCAGAAGAUGCAAUGCCUGAAUGGCUCACUUUGCAGGAAAACAGAAGAACCAAGGAAUACAACAUGUUUAAGACCACAGAACAUCUGCAUAGGCUGUAAAUUUCGUUGAAUGAUGGAUGCAAAGAUGGAAGACAGAUGGAUAGAGGAAAAGACAGAAUCAGAUACUGGAUGAGUUAGUACUGCUGCCUGUGCUUCAGAGCUGUCUUAUUACCACAAGGCCGGCAAGCAUCAAUGUCCCCACAUCCCCCUCUGCCUCCCCCUGAAAUGUACCGAUUUAUAUGAAAAUUAAGAUUACAAAUUAAAGCCUGGCUAUCCUGGAGUUUUCCAGUUCAUCAGCCAUCCAAUAAAAAUGAUGUCAAGCCUG